CGUGAUCAUACCGUAAACCAGUCGCAGUUAGAAAAGAAGAAAAUAAAUAAAACUUUUGUAUCAGCUGUUUUUGCGUUUUUCAAGUGAAAUAUGAAUUGUCAUCGCUUAGUCCGACAUGCAAUUCGCUCGAAAUCAACUCUUGCAAAUUUGAAAGGCAGCUUAAGGUCGAAGUCUCAUGUAGCAAAAUCUGUAAAAGUUACAAGUUCAUUUGUUGAUGAUGUGAAGGAUAUUGUCGGCAGCUCAAAUGUAUCGACAGCAGAUGCUGUGAGGGAGCAGCAUGGACAUGAUGAAUCCUAUCAUAGCGUGGAGCCACCAGAUGUUGUGGUCUUCGCAGAGUCCGUGGAUCAUGUGAGUAAAGUUGCUCGACUGUGUAAUGAUAAUGGUGUACCUCUGAUACCCUUCGGUAGUGGUACUGGACUAGAGGGCGGCAUUAAUGCUGUACAGGGUGGAUUGUGCCUAGAUGUCACCAAAAUGAACAAUGUUAUAUCUGUGAAUGCUGAAGACUUUGACUGCUGUGUUGAAUCAGGUGUGUCAAGGUUAGCGCUGAAUAACUACAUACGGGAUACAGGGCUCUGGUUCCCGAUAGACCCCGGAGCAGACGCCAGUUUAUGUGGAAUGUGUUCAACAAGUGCGUCUGGUACAAAUGCUGUACGAUAUGGUACAAUGAGAGAAAACACACUCAAUAUGGAAGUUGUACUAGCAGACGGCAGGGUAAUUGACACAGCAGGGAAGGGUAGACGAACAAAAAAAACAUCUGCUGGGUAUAAUUUGACAAAUCUGUUUGUCGGAUCAGAGGGAACUCUGGGUAUUAUCACCAAGACAACACUGAGGCUUCAUGGGAUACCAGAGGCAACUAUAUCAGCAACUUGUCACUUCCCAGAUGUACAAUCAGCUGUUGAUACAACAGUACAGGUGUUACAAUGUGGUAUACCAAUGGCUAGGAUAGAGUUUUUAGAUGAAGUUUCUAUUGAUGCAUGUAACAAAUACAGUCAUCUGGAAUUGCCUGUAGCGCCAUCUUUAUUUCUGGAAUUCCAUGGUGCAGAAUCUGCUCUAAAAGGUCAAACAGAGAUUGUAGAGGACCUGGUUAAGAUGAAUAAUGGUUCAGAUUUCAAAUGGGCAACAGAUCCAGAGGAGAGGAAUCAUUUAUGGAAGGCAAGACAUGAAAUAUUAUACGCAUGCAUGGCGCUGAGGCCGGGAUCCAAGCCAUAUUCCACAGAUGUAUGUGUUCCUGUAUCAAAUCUUCCAGAGGUCAUAGUUCGAACUAAAGAAAUGAUCAAUGAAGCUGGAAUAGUCGGUCCUAUUGUAGGUCAUGUGGGCGAUGGAAAUUUCCAUGUUUUCUAUCCAGUACAUCCAGAUGACCACGAAACUUUACGUAAAAUUAAGGACGUGUCAUAUAAAAUGGCGUUAUGGAUUCAUAUUAGGUCAUGUUGGUGAUGGUAAUUUCCACACUUUGUUUUUAUUAGACCCAAAUAACCCCAAAGAACUGGAAUUUGUCCAAGAAACAUCUGAGAAAAUUGCACUAAUUGCUCUUGAAUUGAAUGGCACAUGUACAGGGGAACAUGGGAUUGGACUAGGAAAGAGAGAGCUGCUGGUUAAAGAGAUAGGGGAAGAGGGGCUUCAAGUUAUGAAACAAAUCAAACAAGCUUUAGAUCCUAAUGGA